GGCGGGGCUGGGCGGGACUGGAACCGGCACUUGGCACCCCUUACGCCUUACGGUGGCCGCUGCGCCCAGUCACAUCUGAGCGGAGAAUUUAAUAGGCAAGAAAGAAGGAAGAAGGCUGAAGGAAGAAGCUCCCCACUACAGAGACAGACGGAGGGGGCUCCCAAGACGAAAGAGGAGACCCCCAUUCUAGAUGUUCUUAACCCUUUGAGGGCAAAGCUCUCCGUUUAAUGCCUUGCACAUAUCAGGUUGCCAACAACAUGGUGUGGUUUAUCAAUUGUGAUAGGUUACUUAUUCGAGCCCCUGUUUACAAGAGUUUUAGAUUGCAUUUCUCUGGAAUGACCACAGCAAUAUUUCCAGCCCUUGAUGAUCUUCUAGAACUUUGCCACUUCCCUGCAUCAAGAGGUAUAACCUCAUCCUGGAGCAGGGCACCCUAUCGUCAGAUGGUAUCAUCUUUAAGGGGUUGUCUCAGCCAUGCCUUUAGAAUUACCUUUCAUUGCUUGUCAUGCUGGAAGCUUCUGAAUGUUGCAUUUUGUGAUAGAAACAGUGGGUACCAUGGUCAUGUGCUCACAUCUCCUUUGCGGUAAAGAAAAGGAUCACUCAUUAACAUCCACCAGAUAACAUUCUCCAUGAAAGCACCAAAUAAGGUUUGUCUUGGUCCAUUUUAUGCUGCUAUAACAGAACACCACAGACUGAGAAAUUUAUAAGGAAUAGAAGUUUAUUUGCCUCAUGUUUCUGGAGGCUGGGAAUUCCAAGAUCAAGGGGCUGCAUAGAUUGAGGUCCUUUUUGCUGACUCAUAACGUGGAAAGAGAGUGCACUGCAUAGAAGAAAGGAGGCCAAACUCAUUCUUUUAUCAUGAGCCUACUCCUGAAAUAACUCACUCUCAAGAUAAUGGCAUUAAUCCAUUCAUGAAGGCAGAAUACUCAUGAUGUAAUCACCUCUUAAAAGGUCCUAUUUCCUAACACUGUUGCAUUAGGGAUUAAGCUGUCAACACAUGAAUAUUGGGGGACACAUUCAAACCAUAGCAAGAGUUCUUUGUCUUUGUGACUCGGUGUGGUUCAGCAAAUUGCGAUUGGUCUGCUAUAGCGGACUUUCCCCUCACCUCCCAAAUGUUUAUUAUGAAAAAUUUCAUUUUAAAGAAAGGUGGAAGGAAUUGUUGAAAGAAUAUGUCAUCUAGUUUCUACUGUUGUUAACAUUGUGUCAUAUUUGCCUUUUCAUCCAUCCAACCACCCAUCCAUCUAGCUACCUUAUAAUUACUAUUAUUACUUAUUAUUACUAUUAUUUUUAAAGACACCUCUAUUAAAGCAACCAUCUUAUUUUUUGAUUUUAUUUAUUUUCAAAGUUAGUUGCAGACAUUAGUAUACUUUACUCCUAGACAUUUUAGCGUGAACAUAAUUAACUGGAGUAUAAUACUUGUUUUCAAUUUCUUUUUAUUUUUGAGGUAAAAUUUACAUACAGUGAAAUCCAAAUCUUAAGUGUACCACUAGAUAAAUUUUGAUAAAUGCAUUAUGCCUGGUCUUCACACACCCUUUUCAAUAUAUAGAAAAUUUCCAGAUAAUUUAUUUUGUUGUUUUUUUCACACACUAAGUUCUAGACUUUUCCAGGUCCGAGGGAACUAUUAGGGGGGAAAGUACUUGUUAUAGUAAAAAAGAUUUUAGGUGUGUUUGUUUUUAAGGUGCAGAAACACAUCGCAGAUUAAGGUCUGCAUCUCUGCUUUUUGUUAUUGUUCCAGUUUGAUCUCAGUGACAUUACAAGCAAGCAGAAACACUCAGACAUGAAAUGGCCAGUGCCUGUGAGUUAAGAGCAGGAUCUAGGUCUAUUUUUUUGAUAUGUAUCUCAACUACCUGGAAUACUUUAUACUUUUGGCACUCAAUAAAUAUUUGUUGCUGCCAGAC
rnacentral:lncRNA from 1 species